rnacentral:rRNA from 1 species
UGAGGAAUAUUGGUCAAUGGGCGAGAGCCUGAACCAGCCAAGUAGCGUGCAGGACGACGGCCCUAUGGGUUGUAAACUGCUUUUAUGUGGGGAUAAAGUGCGUGACGUGUCAUGCAUUGCAGGUACCACAUGAAUAAGGACCGGCUAAUUCCGUGCCAGCAGCCGCGGUAAUACGGAAGGUCCGGGCGUUAUCCGGAUUUAUUGGGUUUAAAGGGAGCGUAGGCUGUCUAUUAAGCGUGUUGUGAAAUAUACCGGCUCAACCGGUGGCUUGCAGCGCGAACUGGUCGACUUGAGUAUGCAGGAAGUAGGCGGAAUUCAUGGUGUAGCGGUGAAAUGCGUAGAUAUAUGGAGGAACACCGGUGGCGAAAGCGGCUCUCUGGUCUGUAACUGACGCUGAGGCUCGAAAGCGUGGGGAGCGAACAGG